rnacentral:rRNA from 1 species
GACGAACCGUGCGAACGUUGUUCGGAAUCACUGGGCUUAAAGGGCGCGUAGGCGGCUUGCCAAGUCCGGGGUGAAAGCCUCCAGCUCAACUGGAGAAGUGCCUUGGAAACUGGCGAGCUCGAGCGAGGUAGGGGUCGUGGGAACUUCCGGUGGAGCGGUGAAAUGCGUUGAUAUCGGAAGGAACGCCGGUGGCGAAAGCGCACGACUGGACCUCUCCUGACGCUGAGGCGCGAAAGCCAGGGGAGCAAACGGG